UACGAAGGGGGCUAGCGUUGCUCGGAAUUACUGGGCGUAAAGGGCGCGUAGGCGGCACUGUUAGUCAGGCGUGAAAGUCCUGGGCUCAACCUGGGAACUGCGCUUGAUACGGCAGAGCUAGAGGAUGGAAGAGGCUCGCGGAAUUCCCAGUGUAGAGGUGAAAUUCGUAGAUAUUGGGAAGAACGACCGGUGGCGAAGGCGGCCGGCUGGGGGUGACCUGACGCUGAGGCGCGAAAGCGUGGGAGCGAACCGG
rnacentral:rRNA from 1 species